rnacentral:rRNA from 1 species
GAUGAACGCUAGCGACAGGCUUAACACAUGCAAGUCGAGGGGCAGCACAGGUAGCAAUACCGGGUGGCGACCGGCGCACGGGUGAGUAACGCGUAUGCAACUUGCCUAUCAGAGGGGGAUAACCCGGCGAAAGUCGGACUAAUACCGCAUGAAGCAGGGAUCCCGCAUGGGAAUAUUUGCUAAAGAUUCAUCGCUGAUAGAUAGGCAUGCGUUCCAUUAGGCAGUUGGCGGGGUAACGGCCCACCAAACCGACGAUGGAUAGGGGUUCUGAGAGGAAGGUCCCCCACAUUGGUACUGAGACACGGACCAAACUCCUACGGGAGGCAGCAGUGAGGAAUAUUGGUCAAUGGCCGAGAGGCUGAACCAGCCAAGUCGCGUGAGGGAUGAAGGUUCUAUGGAUCGUAAACCUCUUUUAUAAGGGAAUAAAGUGCGGGACGUGUCCCGUUUUGUAUGUACCUUAUGAAUAAGGAUCGGCUAACUCCGUGCCAGCAGCCGCGGUAAUACGGAGGAUCCGAGCGUUAUCCGGAUUUAUUGGGUUUAAAGGGUGCGUAGGCGGCCUUUUAAGUCAGCGGUGAAAGUCUGUGGCUCAACCAUAGAAUUGCCGUUGAAACUGGGGGGCUUGAGUAUGUUUGAGGCAGGCGGAAUGCGUGGUGUAGCGGUGAAAUGCAUAGAUAUCACGCAGAACCCCGAUUGCGAAGGCAGCCUGCCAAGCCAUGACUGACGCUGAUGCACGAAAGCGUGGGGAUCAAACAGGAUUAGAUACCCUGGUAGUCCACGCAGUAAACGAUGAUCACUAGCUGUUUGCGAUACACUGUAAGCGGCACAGCGAAAGCGUUAAGUGAUCCACCUGGGGAGUACGCCGGCAACGGUGAAACUCAAAGGAAUUGACGGGGGCCCGCACAAGCGGAGGAACAUGUGGUUUAAUUCGAUGAUACGCGAGGAACCUUACCCGGGUUUGAACGCAUUCGGACCGAGGUGGAAACACCUUUUCUAGCAAUAGCCGUUUGCGAGGUGCUGCAUGGUUGUCGUCAGCUCGUGCCGUGAGGUGUCGGCUUAAGUGCCAUAACGAGCGCAACCCUUGCCACUAGUUACUAACAGGUAAAGCUGAGGACUCUGGUGGGACUGCCAGCGUAAGCUGCGAGGAAGGCGGGGAUGACGUCAAAUCAGCACGGCCCUUACAUCCGGGGCGACACACGUGUUACAAUGGCGUGGACAAAGGGAAGCCACCUGGCGACAGGGAGCGAAUCCCCAAACCACGUCUCAGUUCGGAUCGGAGUCUGCAACCCGACUCCGUGAAGCUGGAUUCGCUAGUAAUCGCGCAUCAGCCAUGGCGCGGUGAAUACGUUCCCGGGCCU